ensembl:lncRNA
CGACCUACUGACCCUCUGAUACCCACCAGGGACGACCUACUGACCCUCUGAUACCCACCAGGGACGACCUACUGACCCUCUGAUACCCACCAGGGACGACCUACUGACCCUCUGAUACCCACCAGGGAUGACCUACUGACCCUCUGAUACCCACCAGGGAUGACCUACUGACCCUCUGAUACCCACCAGGGAUGACCUACUGACCCUCUGAUACCCACCAGGGAUGACCUACUGACCCUCUGAUACCCACCAGGGAUGACAUGAUGACCCUCUGAUACCCACCAGGGACGACAUGACAGCCACUGCAGUGGAGCCUCUUUGAGCCUCUACAUCCAUAGUGUGUGAGUGUUGAUGUGUUGUUGUGUUGAGCCCCACCAGCUGUCUGCCAGAUGUCUGGUGGGGAGAGUAAGGCUGCAGAAUACCAAGAACUUUUAAAUGAAAACCUGGUUGGAUGCUUCCGGAUUCUCUGCUUAUUCCUGGGAAACUUCCAAACCAGGAUUUCUGUAAAACUAGGUAAUUUAUUGAAGGUUCCCGGAAUUCUGCAGCCCUAGUAGAGAAGAGUAUCACUGAGUGAACCUGCAGUUUAAAUCCUCUCACCUUUCCUUCAUCCCCUCUUCAUCCUCAUCAUUUUUUACCAACAACCUGUGAAGGAGCUGAAGUUUAGAUGUUAAAGCUGAAUGGUGUUUGUCUUUCAAUGCAACGUUUGUUUCUUUGGCAUUUAAAUGUUUCUUAAUAAAUGAAAACAAGCGUAGAGCCUCGUCACUUUUAAUUUGCCUUACGGAGAAGGACAACUGCUUGGGGGUCAGUUUUUAACAUUUCUGUUCUAGUCGAGAUCAUAGUCAGGUGUUUGUUUCCGUCAUUGGUCUAGAGAUCCGGGUAGAGGUGUAUCGGUUUGGAUAAUAGAGAUACCAAACUCAGCAAUAACAACAGUCUGCAUUCCCUGCUUCACUGGACUCUGGCUAUGCAGACAACACUCAUUAGCUUGGUCCCAGAUGUGUUUGGCAAGACAAGGAGUUCACAUGAUGACACAAACAGACCUGGGAUCAGGCUCCAUUGUCCUCUGUCUCAGUAUGAAAGUCCCCCAGCAGUGUGAACUGUUUCUCUUCGUAGUGUCUCCAGGACAAGGUGCUCUGGGAGAGGACUGAAAUCAUCCUCUAUUCCCCAUGUUGAGCACUACUUUACACCAGGACCCAUAGGGCCUUGGUCUCUCCAGUGUCUGAGAGGUUCGGUACCACGUGGACUUACACUAGAUAAAUCUCUAGUUUAAUUUGUACUGUAAUCACUAAGUUGUUGAUUUGUGGAACAAACCACACAAAUGACAUUUUCAGGUAACUGUUUUCUUUUGCUUGAUUCUAUAAUAUGCAGAAUGUGGAUUCAUUGUGUCUCCAGUGUAGCAGUGUGAAUCCCAGUGUGUAAUACAGGGCAUUCAGAAUGUAUUCAGACCCUUCAACUUUCUCCACAUUUUGUUACGUUACAGCCUUAUUCUAAAAUGGAUUCAAUCUUUCCCCCCUCAAUCUACAGACAACACUCAAUCUUUCCCCCCUCAAUCUACAGACAACACUCAAUCUUUCCCCCCUCAAUCUACAGACAACACUCAAUCUUUCCCCCUCAAUCUACAGACAACACUCAAUCUUUCCCCCUCAAUCUACAGACAAC